rnacentral:lncRNA from 1 species
AGAAGGAGAGAGUGGUGAUGAAACUCUUGGAGCUUGGUUUGGGUGAUAGUACAUGAAGAUAGGUAGAUGGGUUGUCUUGCCAAUUUAUUUUAAGGGCUUUCAUUAUCGAGGUGAAUGGUUUAUGUAAUGUGUUCUAAAAGUUCUUAUUUUGUGAUAAAAUAUGAAAACCAUGAAUUAUCGUGGAUUUGUUCUAUUUACAAUUAUCUCUCUAUUUCAAGUCAAGCAUGUCUAAUUUGGAGCAAUCUUUCACACUAUAUAUAUUGGAAUAUUUGUGAAAUAUGUAUUAUUCAUAGAACAUGAGAACUUAAAUGUUGGGGUAUCAGAGGGAUAGAUGUACCACACGGGGACAUAGGGUAGUAAGGCCAAUAGAGGUCACGUGGUUAGUUACAUGCUAUGAAGGAUAACCGAGAUAUGAAGGGAUGAUGUGAUAUGAUCUGGAUUGGUGUAUCUUUUCAUGAUAUUUUCUAAAGUGUGUAAAACAGCAUUGCUUGACUAGCAUAUUACAUAAUCUACUCACUGAGCAGUGGUUGCUCAUCAUUCACCCUAUUUAAUUUUUCAGAUGUAUUAGUGGGCAAGACAAGGACUAAAUCGGUUGAGGCUGAAUUAGAUGAGAGUGAUAGAGCUUUAUUUAUUUUUAUUGUAAAGUUGUAAGAUUUUGGAUAUAUUUUUAUAAGAGAAGUUUAUUUUAAACCCUGUUUUGGCUUUCUUUUUAUUUUCUCACGCACCGGGUGCGGGGUUUCUACCGAUCCCAGGUCCGGGGUGUGACAGCUUCUCCCCAAAAUCGCUUAAAAUCACUUAAAGUAAUUAUAUGGAGAAGCACAUGAGAGAUGUUUCUCCCCUUAAGAGCAAUUCCACCCAUGGUGCCAUGGUUAACGGCAAGUAAG